rnacentral:lncRNA from 1 species
GAGAAGAGGGGUGGCACCAUCUCAUGAGAGAAGGAGUCAUUCUGCUUGUUAAUCACCUUUAUAGAUAGAGUCCCAGGGUGCUAGAACUUUGAUCAAAUCAAAAUUCUUAUAUCAUAAAGAGUUCAAUUGCCUUUGAGUUUGAUCAUAUCAACUCUUUGACAUUAUCAAAUUUUUGAUUUGUCAACCUUUGACAUAUCAAAUUAAAUCCAACCAUC